GCGUCUCUUACUUGGACGACUAGAACCCGUGGUGGUCCUAAAGCCCUCAGCAAUAGCCUGAGAAAUCCAGAGCUUAAGGUCAUCUUGAGGAGAGCUCCUACUAGGGGCAUCAGCGACUUCCAACAAGCAUUCCCUGCAAAGGUUCCUUCCACUCGGAGCGGAUGAAGAACAAUUAAUGCAUUUAUUUGACUUAUCCCGAGAUUUUCUCGCUGGAGAGUCCAAAUGAACGCUGG